UAUAUAUUAGUGUAUGAUGCACAAAGAUUUUUGAUUUCUGAGGAUUUAGUUUAAUUCUAAAAUGUAUAA
rnacentral:tRNA from 1 species